rnacentral:lncRNA from 1 species
CAGGGGACUCUGCGGAGUUAGGUCUCCCCCUUUGCCUCUGUCCCCUCCUGCUCAGCCCCUCUCUGUCUCUGUCCUCAGGCCUCUCCCCAUCAGUGCCCAGCUCCCCUCCCUCCUGAGCUAUGCACUGACACUGUCUCUUCCUGGGCCUCUAGUUUCUCUCAUGUGCUCAGCAGCAGGCUGUGGAUCAGCUGUGUGGUUUUGAUGUGAACAUUCCAGUGGUGGCUGGAGAGAUGGCUCAGAGCUGAGAGCACGUGUUCCUUGUUGGGAGCCGCCCCACAUUCGCUGUCACAAGGUGGCGCUGACAUCCUGUGUUCUAAGUGGUAAACAAAUAAUCUGCGCAUGUGCCAGGGUACUCCUCCCCCCAUGUACUCUGCCUUCCCCGUGACUACAACUCGGCCAUGGGCUGCAGCCAAUCAGGGAGUGAUGCAUCCUAGCAAAAAUAUAGUUCUCCUUAAAGAGGGAGGGGGUUUCCGCCAUCUCUCUCUCGCUGGCAUCUCUCUGGCUCUGCGCGCCUUGCGCUCUCUCGCUGCCUAAAGAUGUAACAAUAGGACUCGGCGCUCUGGCGCGCCCUCGCUCUCCCGCGCGCUCUGGCGCUCUGGCCCCAUAAAGAUGUAAGCAAUAAAGCUUUGCCGCAGAAGAUUCUGGUUGUUGUGUUCUUCCUGGCCGGGUGUGAGAGAACGCGUUUGUAACAGUUCCUGUUGCAGAGGAUCCAGGAGUGUGAGGACAGGAGUGGAGGGCACAGGAAUGUUUGGACAUCACUGUCCCACCAGCCAAUGAAGAGCGCUCUGUAACAGGACAGGAAAAGAUGGUUGAAAUAGAGUGUAUUGAAAUGACAAUUUGUCAAAAAGCAUAAAAUUAAAAAUACAGAUGAUAUUUCAUUUUAUGAACCUACCAUGCCCAGUGGGUCACAGCCUCAUCCCAGGAAGAAGACACAGUGUGUGCUCAUCUUUGCACUUGAGCUGAUGUGAGUUUUUGAUUCCCUAUGAACAAGAUAAAUUCGACUCAGACGUUUGAAUGCUAAUUUGUAACAGCCCAUGACAUCCCAACAUCCAGAGCAUUCCUGCAGAGAAAGGUGUCCCCUUUCCCAUCUUCCCUCCCACUGCAGACCCUCCAGAGUCUCACCUGUUGAAGAUGAAAGAGAAGCAUCGCAUUCUUGGGCAACAGCGCCGCCUGGUGGAAGAAACAAAGAGGACAGCGUCUGAACCCACAGAGCUGAGGGUAAAGGGGAUCCAGGCUGCUGAGCUGCCCCAGGGCCUCCUUCCUAUCUGCACUUCUCCAGGGCUCUCAGGUCUCAGGCCGCCCUGCUCUCAUCAAACUACAUCCAGAAGAACUUUACGUGCUUUUCCAGCCGUGGGAAGAAAACUCCCUGUAAGAGGGGAGGCAGGAGGCAGAGCCAUGGGUGCUAAAAGGAGCUGCAAAGCCCCAGAGAGCAGUUCCAGAACUCGGACAGGGACCAUGGUGAUGAUUCUUUGAUGUCAGCUACAUGUGGGGUUAACUAAAACCUCAAAAUGGAGGGCAGCAUCUGUGAGGUGUUUUUGCUUAAUUUGAAGUGUGAAAAUCAAUUUCUGAUCCUUUUCUUUGAGGUAGGAAGACACAGGUGUAAACCAGAAUAUUUGAGCAGGAGCCCCUCCCACUUUUUGCUCUGGGCCAUGACUUCUGCUGGAAGCCUACAUGAAGACCUGGAAGAAGGAAAGGCUUGCUCUGUGUCUGCUUGCUCUUCUGGUUUCUACAGUUGCUGAUUCAGGCAUGGUGUUUCCCUACUGAGAGGACUGGACUGUACCUGCUGGUUCCUGUAUGGGGUCUGCUGGCCAAGAAGUCUGGACUGAAGCUGUUGAUUCGUAUUUGGUGUUUGCCAUGGGACUGAACUGCUGACAAAGAAAAUUGAGCUUGCCCCCCAAAAGCUAUUGUUAAACAGGUCCACUUCCCCCAUAUCUAAAUAACUUUUCUCUUCCACUACC